AAUGGAGGCUGGCUUGAAGGGCAUCACCUUUCCCAGGUGAGGUCUUUUCACUCUGAGCUCCUAAUGGUGACAUUGCUCUUCUGUUUCAUGACAGGGUCCACCAGGUCCUACUGGCCCACAGGGUCCGAUCGGUCAGCCCGGCCCCGCUGUGAGUAUUGUCCCUGUUAGCACAAAUCCCCUUUCUUACCAUAAAACCCCCUGGGAAGCACUGCCAGGAUUGACAGCUGCUGCCGAUGCACAGGGCAUUACUGCUGGCAGCAGGAGGUGGUGGGGAUGGGGCUUUGCAUCUGUCUCAUGUCUUUGCUAAGCUGUGCUAGACCCUUUCCUCUUAGGGUGCUGAUGGAGAGCCGGGUCCCAGAGGGCAGCAAGGCCUCUUUGGUCAGAAGGGUGAUGAAGGACCCCGAGGUUUCCCUGGCCCCCCUGGCCCAGUGGGCUUGCAGGGCCUGCCUGGACCGCCUGGUGAGAAGGGAGAAACGGGUGAUGUUGGGCAGAUGGGCCCACCAGGCCCACCUGGACCCAGAGGUCCCUCAGGGCCACCAGGAGCAGAUGGUCCCCAGGGUCCUUCUGGGGGAAUAGGAAAUCCUGGUGCAGUAGGAGAGAAGGUAAAAGGCAUCCAGGGAAA
rnacentral:lncRNA from 14 species